rnacentral:rRNA from 1 species
ACGGGAGGCAGCAGUGGGGAAUAUUGCACAAUGGGGGAAACCCUGAUGCAGCGACGCCGCGUGAGUGAAGAAGUAUUUCGGUAUGUAAAGCUCUAUCAGCAGGGAAGAUAAUGACAGUACCUGACUAAGAAGCCCCGGCUAACUACGUGCCAGCAGCCGCGGUAAUACGUAGGGGGCAAGCGUUAUCCGGAUUUACUGGGUGUAAAGGGAGCGUAGACGGAAUGGCAAGUCUGAAGUGAAAACCCCGGGCUCAACCUGGGGACUGCUUUGGAAACUGUUGUUCUAGAGUGUUGGAGAGGUAAGUGGAAUUCCUGGUGUAGCGGUGAAAUGCGUAGAUAUCAGGAAGAACACCGGAGGCGAAGGCGGCUUACUGGACAAUAACUGACGUUGAGGCUCGAAAGCGUGGGGAUCAAACAGGAUUAGAUACCCUGGUA